rnacentral:rRNA from 1 species
GUGCCAGCAGCCGCGGUAAUACGGAGGAUCCGAGCGUUAUCCGGAUUUAUUGGGUUUAAAGGGUGCGUAGGCGGGCAGUCAAGUCAGCGGUGAAAGUUUGCGGCUCAACCGUAAAAUUGCCGUUGAAACUGGCAGCCUUGAGUGUAGAUGAGGUGGGUGGAAUUCGUGGUGUAGCGGUGAAAUGCUUAGAUAUCACGAAGAACUCCAAUUGCGUAGGCAGCUCACUAGACUACAACUGACGCUGAGGCACGAAGGUGCGGGGAUCAAACAGGAUUAGAUACCCCCGUAGUCC